GGUCAUUGAGAGGGAGUAAACGAUCGGUGUCAAAACAACCGACCGAAGUAGCUAACUGAAUUUACCAUAGACAUGGACAUGUCUAUGGAACUUAGUUUAAAACAAUUUAAUUGUUUUAUUAACAAAGAAAAACGAUAUAUUCCAGUAACAUACUUUAGAGUAGUGGGGGAAAAAAUAUAAGUAUUUGAAUAGUAAACAAUCAGUGCGCCUGCUCAAUAAUCAGGUGGAUGUUAUUGUGAAGUGCGGAUGUUAUUAAACAACUAUUUAUCUAAUGGAGGCUUAGGUUUACUAGACUUGCGAUGACCACUGUGACCUUUCUUAUCAUCUUCUGGAUCAAUUACACGUAAUGCCUCUUCA